rnacentral:rRNA from 1 species
GUCGAGCGAAUGGAUUAAGAGCUUGCUCUUAUGAAGUUAGCGGCGGACGGGUGAGUAACACGUGGGUAACCUGCCCAUAAGACUGGGAUAACUCCGGGAAACCGGGGCUAAUACCGGAUAACAUUUUGAACUGCAUGGUUCGAAAUUGAAAGGCGGCUUCGGCUGUCACUUAUGGAUGGACCCGCGUCGCAUUAGCUAGUUGGUGAGGUAACGGCUCACCAAGGCAACGAUGCGUAGCCGACCUGAGAGGGUGAUCGGCCACACUGGGACUGAGACACGGCCCAGACUCCUACGGGAGGCAGCAGUAGGGAAUCUUCCGCAAUGGACGAAAGUCUGACGGAGCAACGCCGCGUGAGUGAUGAAGGCUUUCGGGUCGUAAAACUCUGUUGUUAGGGAAGAACAAGUGCUAGUUGAAUAAGCUGGCACCUUGACGGUACUUAACCAGAAAGCCACGGCUAACUACGUGCCAGCAGCCGCGGUAAUACGUAGGUGGCAAGCGUUAUCCGGAAUUAUUGGGCGUAAAGCGCGCGCAGGUGGUUUCUUAAGUCUGAUGUGAAAGCCCACGGCUCAACCGUGGAGGGUCAUUGGAAACUGGGAGACUUGAGUGCAAAAGAGGAAAGUGGAAUUCCAUGUGUAGCGGUGAAAAUGCGUAGAGAUAUGGAGGAACACCAGUGGCGAAGGCGACUUUCUGGUCUGUAACUGACACUGAGGCGCGAAAGCGUGGG